GGGGUUAAUUUAAUAAAUAAUAAAUAUGAAAAAAAAUUUUAAUAUAAUAUAUUUAAUGGGGGUUAAAGUAUUUUUAUAGAAAAAAUUUUAAAAUUUAUAGUGAAAUAGUAUUGUAAAAGAAAAAUUGAAAAUAUUGAAAUAAAAAUUUAUUUAAAAGUAAAUUUUAUUUAUUGUAUCUUGUGUAUCAGAGUUUUUUAAAAAAAAAAAUUGGGUAAAUUUAUUUCGAAAUUUAAAGAGUUAAUUAAUUAAAAAAGUUAAUAUUGCAUAAUUAUUUUUAAUAAUUAAUUGGAAAUGAAAAGUUAAUCGUUUUUAAUGAUAUCUAAUUUUUUUAGAAAAAAGUUUAAUUUUAAAUAAAUUUUAAAAAUAAUUAAUUAAUUAAUUAUUUUUAAAAUUUAAUUUUAUAUUUUAGGGGAUAAGCUUUAAAUUAGAUUUUUAUAAUAAAAGUAAAAAAAAAUUGAAAUUUUUAAAAUUUAUAUUUUUUAUAAAUUAUAGUUUAUUAUCAAUAAUUUCAUUUAAUUAAAAUUUUAUUUUAAUUUAAAUUUUUAUAAAAAAAUAUUUUUUAAUUUAAUAAAAAUAGAUAUAAUGAUAAAAUUAGUAUAUAAUUUAUAAAUAAAAUAAAAAUUAUUUAAAUUAAUAAAAAGGAAUUCGGCAAAAAU
rnacentral:rRNA from 1 species